UACGAAGGGGGCUAGCGUUGCUCGGAAUUACUGGGCGUAAAGGGAGCGUAGGCGGAUAGUUUAGUCAGAGGUGAAAGCCCAGGGCUCAACCCUGGAAUUGCCUUUGAUACUGGCUAUCUUGAGUAUGGGAGAGGUUAGCGGAACUCCGAGUGUAGAGGUGAAAUUCGUAGAUAUUCGGAAGAACACCAGUGGCGAAGGCGGCUAACUGGCCCAUUACUGGACGCU
rnacentral:rRNA from 1 species